AUUUCUGGAGGUUGUUCCUUUUGGUGUUUUUCUUGAUAAGCUUGGGACACAGUUGAUGAGAAGCAGUCAGGAAGUCUAGCAGAUAUGAAUAGGAAACCACUGGAAUAUAAGUCUUAGAUAACCUCCAAAAAUGAGAGUUGAAGUCUGUUCUGCUUCCAAGUGGGACCAAACUGGAGGAAAGCAGCAACCUUAUAUGACCUCUUUUUGAGGAAGAGAAAGGUUAUCAAACCAAAAGAUUCACAGAAAGGAAGAAAAAGAAACUGUGCUACUAAAGGAAUAUUUCCCAGCACAAGCUGAAAACAUCAGGCCUGUGGCAACAUCUUGGGGACUGGGAGUUUGAAAGUGUAUUUCAGAAAAAUUGCUUAAACCAUCCUGUAGAGGUGGUGCACUAGCAAGCUGUUCUAAGACAUUCUUCCAGCCCAGCAAAUGGACAUCAGCACCUUGCUGUUACAGCUGGCUCUUUGCCAGGGGAUCUGCAGUGCCAUGAAAACCCAUCUCUCAGAGAAUAUAACCCUGGCAGCUGCCCAGGAAGCAUCAUCUUCUUUCAUGACACAGACUGAAAUUAUGCUCAAAGCAGCACAAGGACUGGGUGACUAGAUGAGUUGUGCCUACACUCACUCUAGGUGCUCCAAUAGAUGCAGUGAUACAAUGCCUUUUUCAUAAAUGUGUGUAAGAUGUCGUUCCUGAUAAAAUCUGUUGCACCUAUGGGUGAAGGAAGUUGGCUUCCCCCUGGUGUAAUGUCCAUAGGCUCAGAAGACUGGAGUAUCAUUACUCCUGCUGCCCCCCAAAAAUCAUUCUAGUGCCAAACAUGACAAGAAGUGAUGCUUAUGGUACGUAACUGAACAAGAGAGGAAACCUCAGUAUGGAUUUACUACAACU
ensembl:lncRNA